CCAGAUGAUCUACGGUUUAUAAAAGAAGAUGAUAUUAAACAUCUACUCACACCUGUCCAGUGCAGAAAACUUCUCCAUUCCUUCAAAUGUGAUUCAAGACAUUCACAAUCAGCCACCUCUGCACUUGACUCCAAACUGCUGGCUGCUCCAGUAUUUUUUUCCCUGACCCCAUUCAAAGAUUAUUUCCUACUGAUAACAGCAGAUGGUGGACACGUUUCAGGUGGCAUGGAGCAAAAUGAGGCCCACUCUCAAAAGAGCUCUUGAUGGUAAGAGACCGUGAGAGACAUGAUAAAAGUCAUAGCUGAUUCUGUAAGAGAACACUGUUUAAACCCAACACGCAAAGACUGCACAGUAUUGGCCAAAGCUAUAAUUGAGGAAUAUUCUGAAAGUUCUUUAGACAAACUUGAGGAUGGAGAUAUAACUGGGUCUGGCUACUUCAGUUUACUAAAUCAACUCAUGACAAUGGUUUAGUAUAUCAAUAGAGGCAAUACACUUUCAUGUCUGAUAAAGCCCAGAUGCUCGGAGGGAUGUACUGAUGAUCAGCCUUCAGCUUCCAGAUGUGCAAGACUUGAUAGUUAUGGAUGUAUUAGUUGGCACCCACAGGAAUACCCACAGCAGCAUCUCUUGAAGAAAAAGGGAAUGAAAUGUUGGAUAUAUUGAGCAAAUUAAUCAAUGACAAUAACAUAUGUAAAGCAGUGAGAGGACAUACAUGCAGAUCCACCCCCAGAAUUUUCUCCUGUCUUGGAAGUUUUUACUGUCCCACUGUACUACUCUUGAAAUGGAAAAAAGUGAAAGAAGCCCUGAAAGAGGACAGACAAGGCACUGAUGGUCUUGCAGCAGUGUUAGUCAUGAUGUCUGAUAUCAGUGAGGCAGAGGACACACUUUUACCUUCUUGCUGAUUAAUUCUUGUAGCCAACCACAACUCUUGCUGCUGCUGAGGCCCAGCUCCCUUCCCAUCAAUCCAGUGCUCAAUGUGGUUGGUAAAGCUUUAAUGAAAUAAAAGUAGUGUUGGCAUAG